rnacentral:lncRNA from 1 species
GAGAUGGUGUUGGAUCAUUAUGUUCAAUGGGUUUGAUCAACCUGCAUAAUGAUUUUGGAUAUAACAAAGUUGGGAGAUGGUGUUGGAUCAUUAUGUUCAAUGGGUUUGAUCAACCUGCAUAAUGAUUUUGGAUAUAAAAGGGAUUUUAGAAUUCAAACAAGGCAAAUCAUUAUGCAGAUGAAAAGAUUGAUGUUAUUCUUAUUUUUAAGUUUUUAUGUGAUCACCAAU